AUAGCCUUCACAUACUGAAAAGCCAGCCAACAAAUUGACGGUCAAAUUAAUAAUAAGGAUAAAUUUAUCGGUUAGCUGUUAUUUAGUACUACUAGUUCUACUCCUAACGAUACAUAAAUGCGAGGUUAUUAUCAAAGAAUUUUUAAACUUUAGAAUCCUGGACAUUACUAAUAAUGGGCAGGUUCCACAGCUAAUUCAUCCAACCAACUCACUCAUUUGUGCCUGCUACAAUAUGAGAAAGUUUCAUAGAUUAUGCAGUGAGCUUCGUGACACUAGUCAAAUUCGGCCAAGCAUAUAAAUCUGAAAUUUCCGGGAUACAUCUUCCGUUUAUUAAAUGACCCAUCGUCAAUGGGAGAUCUUCCCAGGAGUAAAUUAAUCUAGCAACAUAAGUUCAUCGCGGAACAACCAGAAUAUCACUGCAAUCUUACAGUUUCAAUUGCGGCACCUUUUGGAUUUGUAUUCUGUGUACACAACUGGAGAAUUGUGUGAAUCCAAGAAAAGGAAAACGCACUUGAUCAUCGUACUUCUUACUGAAAAAGAAAUCAAGGGCUUUCGUCAAAGUAAAGUAGGCAAAACUUUCUGCAGUUGUAAAGAUACAGCCA